GCCUUCGUAGUGUAGUGGUCUGCACGCUGGACGCACAUUCCAGAGGUUCAUGGUUCGAUUCCCGGCGAGGGCG
rnacentral:tRNA from 1 species